GCUGGGGUACAGCUCAGCGGCAGAGCACUUGCCUAGCAUGUGCAAGGCUCUGGGUUCCAUCCCCAGCAUCAGCA
rnacentral:tRNA from 1 species